rnacentral:rRNA from 1 species
GACGAACGCUGGCGGCGUGCUUAACACAUGCAAGUCGAACGGAGUGGCGAACGGGUGAGUAACACGUGGGUGACCUGCCCUGCACUUCGGGAUAAGCCUGGGAAACUGGGUCUAAUACCGGCGAGUGUGGGAUGGGCCCGCGGCCUAUCAGCUUGUUGGGGGGGUAAUGGCCUACCACGGCGGCGACGGGUAGCCGGCCUGGGAGGGUGGACGGCCACAUUGGGACUGAGACACGGCGCAGACUCCUACGGGGGGCAGCAGGGGGGAAUAUUGCACAAUGGGCGGAAGCGUAAUGCAGCGACGCCGCGUGGGGGAUGUCGGCCUUCGGGUUGGAAACUCCUUUCACCUUCGACGCGUUAGCUGGAGAAGAAGCACCGGCUAACUACGUGCCAGCAGCCGCGGUAAUUU